AGUGACAUGAUCACACAGUUCACUCUUUGCCUCUCAAUCACAGACUCACUCAUGCACUCACUUACUCACAUAGUUUCGCUUUAGGAUUAUUCUCAUUUAAGAUAAUUGGAUCUCUAUUUCAGGAGAGGAAUGACAUGCAUGACCUUCUGGCUCUCCUCUCUGCUCAGGCCCCAGCAGAACAGGCCCAGCUCUCACAGUGGUCUUCUCUACAGGCUGUCCUGCUCCGCUCCCCUUUGGCACCAGCUCCUGCCACUACAAAAGAGGAUUCCUCUGAAUAGUUCCUGCUGGAUACAGAUCUUCCAAGCACACCUCUGCCAGCCACAUCACCACUGCCCUUGAUAGCUUCUCCACUGGACCCAUCAAGAGAUGAGGUUGCCUCUUCAUCUUGGACCACGGCCGAUGGACAGAGCCCCUUGAAGCUGCCAGUGAUGUCCUACUGGCCAAGCACCAUGGGGAGGAAGAGAUCCUGAAGUGGGUAGAUUUGCUUUGCUCUCAACACCAGUCCAGAGAAGCUCCUAGAGACACACAGCUGUGACAUUAUUUUACUGCAGAGAGUAAAAUGGUCAGUGUCCCAGUCACGUCCCCUACCACCUGCACUUACACAGCAGAAAGCCUCACCAAUUCAAGGAUGCCAUUUCAGUAUUUUGCUGCCGCUGCCUUCUUUCAAUGGGAGCUGGAGGCCUCGAAGCAGAGGGAGGCUGUGAGGAAGGAGCAAACUGAAGAAAGAGAAAAUCCUUAGAGCAACAUCCCUCUGUCCAUCUGUACAGGUUCUGCCACCAGUCGCUGAAACAAGGCUCCAACAGCCAUCCAACAGCUUUCCUUGAGUGGCAGGAAAAUAUCUACUACCUAGCCAAAGUUUUCUCUGUGCCUGAUACAGGGCAUUGGCGGAUGCGCCAACAGUCUGCCUUUUAAUGAGACUGAAAAGUAGAUGGAUGGUGGGGAAGGGAGAGUGACUGAAAUAAAUUGGAGCUGAAAAUUUCCAUUGA